AUGGAGCAACCAACGCCGAGAACAACGGCAGUCGUGCCAUGGUUGCUGCUGCUCUGCCUCGUCUGCAGGGCACCGCAAGCUCGUGCCCAGCCCGACAACAAUGAUUUCAUAAGCAUAGACUGCGGUCUUCCAGGGGAGACAGGCUACAGGGAUAACACCACCUCGUUGUACUACACGACGGACGCUGGCUUCAUCGACACUAAUGCCGGCAUAAACCACAACAUCUCCGCUCAGUACAUCAACCCGUCGAUUCCCACGAGCUUGCACAGCGUGCGCAGCUUCCCCAGCGGCGAGCGCAACUGCUACACUCUGGGCUCACUCGUGUCCGGGCUCAAGUACCUCAUCCGGGGCCAGUUCUUGUACGGCAACUACGAUGGCUUCAACAGGCUACCCAUCUUCGACCUCUACAUCGGCGUUAACUUCUGGACGACGGUGAACAUCUCAUCAUCCGACGCAGCGGUGUAUGCGGAGGCCAUCAUGGUCGUGCCGGAAGAUUCCGUGCAGGUUUGCCUCAAGAACACCGACCGCGGGGUGCCGUUCAUCUCUGGGCUGGAUGUAAGGCCGCUGACGAUCAAGCUCUACCCACUGGCCAACGAGACACAGGCCCUCGUUCUGCUUCACAGGUUUAACUUCGGACCCACUGAUGAAACAAUUAUCAGGUACCCUUAUGAUCCAUAUGACCGGAUAUGGUUCCCUUUUGUCGACAUGACAGACUGGGCUGAGAUAAAAACUGGGGAAAAGGUGAAAAUUGAUGACGAGCUCUUCCAGCCGCCCGAGGCAGUGAUGCAGACGGCCGUCACGCCGCAGCUCGUCUCCAAGAACAUAGAGUUUACCUUGGACCUCCAGAGUUUCCCUAGUGACCUGGGGUACAUCCAUAUGUUGUACUUCUGUGAACUGGAACAUCUUCCAACAAAUGCACUACGGGAGUACAACAUCUACCGGAAUGACGUGCUGAGGCACUCAAAUUACACUCCGCCAUACCUUGUGAACGAUUACAUCUACUCAUCCGAGCCCUUUCAAGUCGACCAGUACAAGGUCUCCCUCAACGCCACCGCUAUGUCGACGCUGCCGCCCAUCAUAAACGCCAUUGAGCUAUUCGCCGUGAUCCCAACUACCAUCCAGGGCACCGACACACAGGACGUAUCUGCCAUCACCGCAAUCAAGGAGAUAUACCAGGUGCACAAGAACUGGAUGGGUGACCCGUGCAUUCCCAAGGCUCUGUGCUGGGAUGGGUUGACCUGCAGCUACGACGUUUCCAAACCUCCAAAAAUUAGAAACGUAAACAUGUCCUUCAAUGGUCUGCAUGGUGGUAUAUCGCCAAAUUUCGCAAAUCUAAAGGACGUCCAAUACUUGGAUCUCUCAAACAAUAAUUUAACAGGAUCAAUUCCAGACACCCUUUCACGAAUACAAUCAUUAAUAUUUUUAGAUCUCUCAAACAACAAUCUGAAUGGAUCCAUUCCUUAUGGACUUAUCAAAAAAAUUCAGGAUGGGUCCUUGGAUUUGAGAUAUGUCAACAAUCCCGAUCUCUGUACUAAUGGCAACUCAUGUCAGCUUGCUGAAGGGCGCACCAAACUAGCCAUCUACAUAGCUGUUUCUGUAGUUGUGAUUGUGGUGUUAGUAUUAGUGGCAGUACUAUGCUUUUGCUUCCAAAGAAAAAGAAAGCAAGGAUCAAUCAAUUAUUCUGUAAAGCUGACAAGUGAUGGCGAUGGGAAUAGUUCGCUUCGACUUGAGAACCGUCGGUUCACGUACAUGGAACUGGAGACAAUAACGAACAACUUCGAGCGAGUGCUUGGCCAAGGAGGGUUCGGGCAUGUCUUCCACGGCUCCCUGGAAGAUGGCACUCAGGUGGCAGUAAAGUUGAGGUCUCAUUCUUCAAAUCAAGGUGUCAAACAAUUCCUCGCAGAGGCUCAAGUUUUAACACGGAUUCAUCACAAGAAUCUUGUGUCCAUGAUUGGUUACUGCAAGGAUGGGGUGCACAUGGCACUUGUCUAUGAGUACAUGCCUCAAGGAACCCUACAAGAGCACAUUGCAAGGGAAGACAACAAAGGGCGAGGUUUACCAUGGAGGCAAAGACUCCGAGUCGCACUUGAAUCGGCACAAGGUCUGGAGUACCUACAUAAGGGGUGCAGCCCACCUAUAAUUCACAGGGAUGUCAAAACCGCCAACAUCUUGUUAAACGCAAGGCUAGAGGCCAAGAUUGCCGAUUUUGGUUUGUCCAAGGCUUUCACCUGCGACGAUAACACCCACGUAUCCACCAACACGUUUGUCGGCACACACGGAUAUGUAGAUCCAGAGUAUCAGAGAACAAUGCAUCCAUCGACCAAGAGCGACGUGUAUAGCUUUGGUGUCGUGCUACUAGAGCUAGUCACAGGAAAGCCAGCCAUCCUACGCAACCCCAGGCCCAUCAACAUCAUCAACUGGGCACGACAACUACUUGCACAGGGCGACAUUGAAGGCAUAGUGGAUGCGCGUAUGCAAGGUGAUCAUGACAUCAAUGCCGUUUGGAAGACUACAAACAUUGCACUCAUGUGCACUGAGCAAGCUCCCGCGCAGAGGCCCUCCAUGACUGAGGUGGUGAUGCAGCUACAGGAGUGCCUCGAUCUCGAGGAAGGCAACGGCGGUAGUGGCAUGAACCCACACAUGGGUUACAAUGCUACCAUUAACCAGUCCAUUGGUGUGAGCCAGAACAACACUAUGUUUGAGACAGCGUAUAAUUAUACGACAGGGCCACCAAUGGACAGCAGUCCCGCGUCCACCCGAUGA
rnacentral:rRNA from 1 species